rnacentral:rRNA from 1 species
GAUGAACGCUGGCGGCGUGCCUAACACAUGCAAGUCGAGCGAACGGACGAGAAGCUUGCUUCUCUGAUGUUAGCGGCGGACGGGUGAGUAACACGUGGAUCACCUACCUAUAUUACUGGGAUAACUUCGGGAAACCGGAGCUAAUCCCGGAUAAUCUUUUGCACCGCAUGGUUCAAUAGUGAAAGACGGUCUUGCUGUCACUUAUAGCUGGAUCCGGGCUGCAUUAGCUAGUUGGUAAGGUAACGGCCUACCAAGGCAACUAUGCGUAGCCGACCGGAGAGGCGGAUCGGCCACCCGGGAACGUGGCCGCGGACCAUGGUCCUACGGUACGCAGCAGUAGCGAAUCUUCCGCAAUGGGCGGAAACCUGGCGGAGCGACGCCGCGUGUGUUGUGACGGUCUUCGGUUCGUAAAGCCCUGUUAUUGGGUAAGAACAGAUGUGUAAUGAGCCGAGCACAUCGUGACGGUACCUAAUCAGAAAGCCCCGGCUAACUACGUG